rnacentral:rRNA from 1 species
AUUGAACGCUGGCGGCAUGCCUUACACAUGCAAGUCGAACGGCAGCACGGGUGCUUGCACCUGGUGGCGAGUGGCGAACGGGUGAGUAAUACAUCGGAACGUACCUUAUCGUGGGGGAUAACGCAGCGAAAGCUGUGCUAAUACCGCAUACGCCCUGAGGGGGAAAGCGGGGGAUCGAAAGACCUCGCGCGAUUAGAGCGGCCGAUGCCUGAUUAGCUUGUUGGUGGGGUAAAAGCCCACCAAGGCGACGAUCAGUAGCUGGUCUGAGAGGACGAUCAGCCACGCUGGGACUGAGACACGGCCCAGACUCCUACGGGAGGCAGCAGUGGGGGAUUUUGGACAAUGGGGGCAACCCUGAUCCAGCAAUGCCGCGUGAGUGAAGAAGGCCUUCGGGUUGUAAAGCUCUUUUGUCAGGGAAGAAACACCGGCUCUAACACAGUCCGGGAAUGACGGUACCUGAAGAAUAAGCACCGGCUAACUACGUGCCAGCCGCCGCAGUAA